AUGCAAGAUGAAGACGAUAAUGAUUCAUCAGCCCUACAAGCUUUCGGUUGUGUUUCUGUGAAGAACGAUCCAGAUGAUCAUGCAACAAACUGCAGUGGUCCUUGUUCAGCAACCGAACAUUCAGGAAUGAAUAUUUUGGUGGCGAACAAAAUUGGUGCUUUGAAGAAACAUUCACUCGGUCAACACUCAUUACCUUUAAGUCACAAGUCCAGCUCUCGUCAACACAGCAGAAAGAAAAAAAGUGCAGAAGAAAAAAGAGACCAAAAACGGCUGCAGAAGCAAGCUCAGCGUGCUAACCCUGCAAAGAGGGCAGCAGAGCAAGAACGAGAGCGAGCUCGAAAAAGGACCCGCCGCGAGGAUUAUGACUACAGGUCGAAAGAAAAUUCUGCCUCCAGAGAAAGAAUGCGACUAUAUCGUCAAGACCCCAAUUAUAGAUUACAAGAGAAUGCAGCCUUGAGAGAGCGUAUGAAGGCACGCAGAAAGGAUUCAGAAUUCGUGGCACUUGAACGACUGGCAAAAACUGCGGCAAGACUUAAAAAAUGUUCAAGCACAGUAACACGUGAACUUGAACAAGCACUGGACACACAAUGAGUGAAACCAAGAGUGCAACGCAAUUAACCUUUUUAAAGUCCAUGAAAUAAUUUAAAUUGAUAGAUGACCAUAACAAACUUUUCCCCUCACUGGGAAUGGGUACUUUUGCCUGUGCUCUCAUACUUUAGACUGCUGCCAUGUGUGCUCACACAUUUUGGUAAACCAUUAUUUCUGUUUAUUUGCUUAAUUUAGGAUAGAGUUAAAAUAAUCUUGGUAAAUUGCUUGUUGAUGAGCUCACGCUUGUAAGGGGGAAAAAAAAUAAUGUAAAUAAAGAUUUUAAUUUUCCAUUACCAACA
rnacentral:lncRNA from 1 species